AGAGUAAUUUUAUAAUUUUUAA
rnacentral:miRNA from 1 species